AAUAUUUAUCUUGUAUGCCUUAAACAUAUGUAACAGAACACAAGUAGACAAAUAGGUGUAUGUUCAAAAGUAUGAAGUUAACUUAAAGAUCACGAAAAUGGAAAUAGACUGAUAGAUAACAAGAGCAGGACAUUGAAACUGAUGAAAAUACAUAUCUACCACUCUGCCUGCCUGCCAGCCUAUACUUUGUUUACUUUGUUGCUCUAGAGUCUAGAGGCUGUGGACCCACACCCUAACUAGCCCCAUAAAACACCCAAGAAGAUGAAUCUCGUCCACUACGGACACCGCCGCUGCAAAGGAUGUGGCCUGGGCAUGCUGGAGCUCUUGGUCGAUGUCUUGUAUCAUGACCAGGAACAGUAGUGGUCCCAUCGCCGAGCCUUGGGGAACGCCACUUUUGACUGGUCGAGAUAAACUGCCCUGGACUGAAACCUGUUGAGUUUGACCUGUUCCUGGUACAGAAGAAGGGUCAAACUACCACCAGGGUCAUAACACUACCCCUGGAAAUGCCCACAACUCGUCGAAAACCAUGUCAAAUAUGUCCUUAGACCCUGCCGAAAUGUCUGAAAACAUGGCCCUGAGGUACACCACUCAUCCCCGUUGUCUGGCACAAGAGGCAAAUACUCUCCCCCCAAAAGCUAUACCAAGUUAAUAAGAUGAAGAGAGACCCAGCAAAAGUAGUUGGUGUGCCAAGCAACUGGCGGCCGAGGUGGCAGCAGCCGCUGGUGGCAAGAUCCACCUUCCUCGUAGCUGUGUGAGAGCUUAAAUGCUCAUCUUUCCCUCAUUACUGCAUACUGAACAUAAAAAGACAUCUGGCUCUGCAAUUGCAAAUAAAAGCCUACAACGCCGGUAGGCUUUCUUGAGGGGCCUGGAUAACAGUCGGCCCCAACCCGUCAUGGCACAGAAGCAUGACACAGCAGGAUAUAGCACAUGCUGCGUUAUGAUGACCCUCCUCAACACAAGAAGUCUAAUCGUCUUCUGUUGCACUGGCUCUGCUGAGGGGGCAGGUGACAGUGCUACCAGUGCCACCAUGAACUGAACUUCAAGAAUUUCUCUUGAGAGGAGCACCAAUGGGCAGUAUGAGCCAAGCAGUGUAUAAAAAUUAUUGGAACCCCUGUAAAGAAAUCCACCUGUGCCACCACUCCACUUCACCAGAGAGAUGGCCUACCAGCACUACAGGCCUGUGCAUCAUGGUGUGGUACUGUUUGCAGUGGUUGGGCUUGUCCUGUCCUACACACACUAUUAGGGAUAGAGUGGCUGUCAUCUCACUGUGAGAAGCAGGGAUUCCAUUUUCAGCUGGAACUCACAAGAUGAAAGCAUUGAACAGUAGCAAGUGGUGGUGGUCAGUAGUUGUUGCCACACUGAUGCUGGCUGGGUCCUCAUCAUCUCACUAAGAGCAGCAGGGCUUGAGUCUUCAGCUGGGAGCAGGACGGUAGCCGUGGACAGUGGUUGGCAGCGGUGAUGGUGGCCAGCGGCAUUAGUCAUGCUCACCACCGGGUUCCUCAUCCUCAUGAGGUUCAUAAAGCAGAGGUGUGGUGAGAAGAGAUGGAGCGACGAAGCCAAGAUGAUCACCACCACCAUCAUCGUUGUCCCUCUCAUUGUCAUCCCAGUCAUCAUCCUCUUCCACCAUUUCAUCACACUUAUCUUUUAUACCUACCUUAUGUGUGUGUUUCUGUCUGUCUGUGUAUGUGUGUCUUCACCUAUGUUGAUUCUGAAGGGGUGUUUAGGUGGGGACUGGGUGGGGGGAAGUCCAGGGGGGAGGGAAGGGUGGGAUGGACUCUCUUCACCCUCUACUCUUUCUCUUCUCUCCCUUUAAUUUUCCUCCAUUCUCUUCAUAAACUACUCUUCUAUUUCAACAUAGGGAGGGCAGUGUGCUUUCCUUCUCCUCUUCGUCCCCAUCCCCUACUCUGCCUAAUCACCUCACAUCAUCUUCCAUCUCUUCCUACGUCUCUCCCCUACAGUUAUGUAGCAGAAUCACCAAUAGAAGCCAUUGCAGCAGGUGAUUAAGUAGCUGUAUUGCAUGUGUGGAUUGAUACUAACCAAGACCCAUUCAGUAACCAUGUAUACCAGCUAAGAAUUUAAGGGGUGGAGCAAGGGGGCCAGGGCUGGGUGACUGGCACACAUGACCCCCUGUCUGAUGUGACCCAGGCUGAUUCAAGGCUUCAAGAAUGGGUGAAGUAUGCAGAAAGAGCAAGAGUUACUGCAUACUUUAUCUCAGAGGCCUUGAAGUAGUCUAGGUUAAAUUAAACAGGGGGCAGUUAGAAGUCAUCCAGCUCUGGCCCUCUGAAACCUCACUACUGGUAUUGAUACUGAAUGGGUCUUGGUACUACAGGGUGGUAUAUAUGUGUGUGCAGAUGUAUCCAUGAGCCAUGAUGCUGUACACUAUAGGAGACUCAAGAAUGUUUUACGUGUGUGAAAAAAUGUGUAUCUUCUCAAGGUUUUGUUCCUUUGUACCACAGAAAAUAGCAGGAAAAAAGUCAGAUAUUUUUAUUUCUAAAACUUCGUCACAUGCUCCAUAUGUCCAUUGCAGCUUGUGACUCCACCAGCUGUGUAGUGUCGUUCUGGAGUCAACCAGUCGGUCUUGAUCCCUCUGCGGUGAUGGUGAACGUUUGCUAGACACCAUUCACAACGACAGAACAGUGCCGCCAGAUAAGGCUCACCACCAUCAUUACCACACAGGCACCGAUCAACAAGGGUGUGUUCACCAAUUCGUACGCACUAUUCCAGUUAGUAUUGUACUCCUCUAGUUAUCCAUCUAUCUAUGACACCUUGUACCCUCUGUGGACUCCCCUUGCUUGGGUGGUUAUGGCAGAGAAGAGCUCUUUCCCCAUACAGUCUCUUUUCUCAACAUUCAUGCCUCUUCUUGCCCCUCUCCAUGAAUCCCACGAUCCCAUUAUUCACAAGUGUCCAGUUUUCCCUGUUCAUACAUUCCAUUUUUUGCAACAUUCACAUGCUCACUCCCAUCUCUCCAAUCUUAUCAUUAACUCUCCACAAAGUCAGCAUUCUCAUAGCAUAUCCAAACCACCUCAAUGAACUUAGCCUUCCAUUAUCACCCCACUUACACCCAUACAACAUCUGUACACCCUCCUCAUUACUCAUCCAUUAUCACCCCACUUACACCCAUACAACAUCUGUACACCCUCCUCAUUACUCAUACCAGCCUUCUUGUUACAGUUGUCUGCUCACUCCAUGCCUAUGUUUCAGUGACAUAAGUUAGGGGAACUAUGCUAUUUCUCCUUCUUUUUUUACUCCAUACAUAUAAUUUACCUCACGAUUUUCUUGGCUGACUACGACCUGCUUUCUCCCUCGCUUAUCCUAUCUUACUUUCAGACCUUUCCCAGAUAUGAUUAUAUUUUUAAUGUCCUCCAUUUCUCACAUGACCUGCCUUCCCUUCACUGCCCUCCCAUACUAUUACGCUACUGCCUGCCUUCACUUCUCCUUCCAGGUUCCCAUGUUUAAAUUCCGCAUUGUUCCUCAGUAUAAUCAACAUAAUUAUUCCUGUGUACUAACUGGACUGCUGCGUGCGUACAAAAUCGUCAACAAACCCUUACUGACUGGCUGGCUAACUCACCAAGAUGACUCUACAUUGCUAGGGUGUCACCAGAAGUCACGAUUCACCAAAACAUGCACUGGAACAAAAAAGAUGAUGAUGGCUGGAAAAGGUGUAGUCUUCAUCCCCUGAGCACUCUGAUAGGUCGUCGUCCUCCAUACCAUCUUCCUUUCCUUGCAUUCCAAUAUUUGUUCCAUCUGUUUCCUCUCUUCCACCACUCCUGUAAAGAGAGCAAGCUGAAUAAAUGACUAGUUUCAACACCACUCAACCAUCAUAACACCGUCAUUCACCACCACACAGCUCCACGAGGAUGCAAAGGGUGGCAGAAAGAAUACUAUACUAAGUCUACAGGAGCUGUCAUAUAAUGAGAUUCAAGAAACUAAACUGUCCAACACCUGAGGAGGGAGACGAUUAUGAUAGAACUAAGGACUAAAAUUAGAUAGAUGAAAUUUUGUGAUAGUUUGUUGGUAUGAACCUAGAUGUCAAUAAUUAUAUUCAAUAAUAAUAGUUUUGUUUCGCCCAGCAGCAUAUAUAAAAAGAAAAUGAGAAUGAAAUCAAGAUACAUUAUAUAAUUAUAUCAGCGUGUGCAUGUCUUGGUUCUUGGAUUCUCUCUCUUCUUCUUCUCCUCCUCCUCCUCCUCCCUUAGUCUCCUCUCCUUUCCUCCUACAUUACCAUUGUAUCUUUUUAGCUUCCUGGUGCAACUUCCACAUGUAUCCUUAGUUGUAUAAUCACACUUUGUACUGCCUGGGGAUUGGGAUGGCAUGCUCCUCCCUUCUCCUUUGUUGUUUACUUGCUACAAUAAACUAUCAAUCAAU